rnacentral:rRNA from 1 species
UACAGAGGGUGCGAGCGUUGUUCGGAAUUAUUGGGCGUAAAGCGCUUGUAGGCGGCUUGUUAAGUUCCGUGUGAAAUCCCCAGGCUUAACCUGGGAAGUGCGCGGAAAACUGGCAGUCUCGAGUGCGGGAGAGGUGAGUGGAAUUCCCAGUGUAGAGGUGAAAUUCGUAGAUAUUGGGAAGAACACCAGUGGCGAAGGCGGCUCACUGGCCCGUAACUGACGCUGAGGUGCGAAAGCGUGGGGAGCAAACAGG